rnacentral:rRNA from 1 species
UAGGAACCUGAAAGGGGGACGAACGGUAUCCAGUCCGUAGCUAUUACAGGUGUUGCAUGGCUGUCGUCAGCUCGUGUCGUGAGACGUUGGGUUAAGUCCCCUAACGAGCGAAACCCUUGUUUUUAGUUACCAGCGGGUUAUGCCGGGUACUCUAGAAAGACUGCCGUCGUCAAGACGGAGGAAGGUGGGGAUGACGUCAAGUCAUCAUGGCCCUUAUGCCCCGGGCUGCACACGUGCUACAAUGGUCGGUACAGACGGAAGCGAAGCCGAGAGGUGAAGCGAAUCCUAAAAAGCCGAUCUCAGUUCGGAUUGGAGGCUGAAAUUCGCCUCCAUGAAGUUGGAAUCGCUAGUAAUCGCGGAUCAGCAAUGUCGCGGUGAAUAUGUUCCCGAGCCUUGUACACACCGCCCGUCAAGCCACCCAAGCAGGAUGCACCCGAAAACAUUAUAUCUAACCAGGGCAACUUGGAGGAAAAUGUUGAAGGAGUGUUUUGUGAGGAGGACUAAGUCGUAACAAGGUAACC